UACGGGAGGCAGCAGUGGGGAAUAUUGCACAAUGGGCGCAAGCCUGAUGCAGCCAUGCCGCGUGUAUGAAAAAGGCCUUCGGGUUGUAAAGUACUUUCAGUCGUGAGGAAGGUGUUAAGGUUAAUAACCUUAGCAAUUGACGUUAGCGACAGAAGAAGCACCGGCUAACUCCGUGCCAGCAGCCGCGGUAAUACGGAGGGUGCGAGCGUUAAUCGGAAUUACUGGGCGUAAAGGGCACGCAGGCGGUUAAUUAAGUUGGAUGUGAAAUCCCCGGGCUUAACCUGGGAAUGGCAUUCAAGACUGGUUAGCUAGAGUCUUGUAGAGGGGGUAGAAUUCCAUGUGUAGCGGUGAAAUGCGUAGAGAUGUGGAGGAAUACCGGUGGCGAAGGCGGCCCCUGGACAAAGACUGACGCUCAUGUGCGAAAGCGUGGGGAGCGAAACAGGGAUUAGAUACCGU
rnacentral:rRNA from 1 species